rnacentral:lncRNA from 1 species
UGCACACACGGAUGUAACUGUGAGUGUGCUAUGUGAGAUCCAUGUAAAUGGAAGAAUCCGGGAGCAUUAUAUUCCAUUAAUAACAAGAGUUUGUGUAAAAACGGCAGUUUGCUCUUGACAUAAAGUGCUCUGACGUGGAAUGCUUCUUCCUUUCUUAACCUUUCAGAUCUCCUGAUUGCCUUACAGUGUAGAUCUUCACACUCAAUCAAUUCUGCUUGCUUCUAAGGAGGCAUUUCUGUUUUCAAAAGGGGGGUUCAUGAGGGCAGUGAUAGCAGCAGUAGAAGGUCUGGGUAUGUUAGCUAGGACUUUCUUAGUGGCAGGUGAAAAAAACUGAAUGUGAACCAGGGAAACCAGAAAAGGGCAGCGUGGCGUUGGCUUUAGGGACUCCUGGAAUCAGGGACUUGAAUGUCGUGAGGACUCCUGCUCUCCACUGUUUGUCUUGGCUUCUUGGAGCAUCAGCUUGUUUGCUUGGACUGGCUUCUCAAGUGACGGGGCCAUUGUUGCUGCAGCUCUAGCCUAGCGUGUUUACAGUUCCAAGACAGAGAGGAAAGACCCUCUUUCCUCAGCUCGAGUUUGAAUAAACCCAGCAUAGAAUUCUGAUUGGCUGGACUUUGGUCACAUGUCUAUUUGUGGACCAAUCCCAGUGACUGAGGGUUGAGACUUUGUGAUUGGCCCAUCCUGGAUCAGGUGCCCACCUCUUGCCGCAUGUUAGAAACACCCGUCAGAACCACAUGGUUUGAAAAAGGCUCCAUCUACAGAGGCUGUUUUGGGCACCUAUUUUAGUAAUUUUUUCUUUGAAGUCUUCUUUCCCUCUGUCUGCGUAUAUAUAUGUAUUUAUAAAAUGACAUCAAGGAGAGAGAGCCUCUGUUAUGUCCUAAUCUCUCUUUGCCGCGUGGUUGCAACUGCACAUUCUUAACAAAGAAAGACCGUUUGGCAACAGUAGGAAGAUGCACAGCUAGACGCCCAUGAGACUGGAGCAAAGACAUCACAUACAGAGCUACUGCUGGAAGGAAGGCAGCAAUGACACGGAUCUGAACCAAGGCGGUGACACGCAGCAUGGAGUUUACAGAGUUGCGUUUGAAGGAUUCUUAGAAGGUAUGCAAAUUUUCUCUGGCUCUGCUGGGCUCAGCUGAGAUUGGCUGGGUUUGGCUCCAAGCUGUGAGCUGGGUUCAGGUCUGUUUUAUGUGUUUCCUCACUCUUCUGUGUCAGUGGCUCCAUAAGGUAGUUUUGAUGGUGGAUCACAGAAGUGCAAGAGACUGAGUAGAAAUGAGAUACCUCUUAAGACCUCGGCUUAGAACUCGCACACGCAGUUACUUCCACCCUCAUUCAAUUGGCUAAUGCCUGUUGCAAGGCCAAGUGCAACGGCAGCCCAUUCUAGCACACUGCAAGGCUAUGCUGCAGAGGAAGAGCACGAAGAUCUGAGAACAACAAUCCAGUCCACACGCCAGGAUGGAGGAGCAGAAGAAUGGAAAGACCCUGGGUCCUUGAUGAUAACGUGGAGCAGCUGAACCAACACUGGCACCGGUUUUAUCCAGACUUUUGUUAUGUGAUAAAAAUGAGCCUCUGUUUAUUUAAGACACAAUUUCUACUUGUAAUUGAAAACAUUUCAAAAUGAUAAAAAGCAGUUGUGUUCUCAUUUAACUGUUUCUAUAUUGAUGGGCAUUUAAAUUGUUUCCAAUUUUCCAUUAUUACAAAUAAUGCUAGCAUGAACAUUUUAUAUACGACUUGAUCAAAUGUAUAUGUAUUUCUAUCAGAGAGAUUCCUAGAUACAGAAUUGCUGUGUUGAUGAGUAUUUACAUUUAAAAUUUUGAUAGAUGAUAUCAAAUUGCCCUCCACAAGACUUUGCCAGUUCCUACGCUUACUAAUCCUGAUAUUAUCACAGUUAAAAAAAUGGUUCCAAUCUGAAGGGUGAAACACAGUUCUGUUUCAUUUGCAUUAUUAUGACUAGUGAAGUUGAAUGUCUUUUCAUACAUUUAUUGGCUGUUUGCAUUUCUUAUUGUGUGAUAUGCAUGUUCAUAGCCUUUGUGUGUUUUUUCUAUUGUGCUGUUUUCCUUUUCUCUUAGUAAUUAGUAGGGAUCAUUUUAUUUUAUGCUUUUAAUCCUCUGUUUUACACAUGUGAUAGAUAUCUUCUCUGUCAUUUACUUGUCUUGUUUAAAAUUUUUAAAUUAAAUAUGGCAGAGAUACAAAAGAGUAGGUAUCAACUAUGUUUAAGCUCUAAAGAAUGACAAUACA